CUACGGGCGGCAGCAGUGAGGAAUAUUGCACAAUGGGGGGAACCCUGAUGCAGCAACGCCGCGUGGAGGAUGACGCAUUUCGGUGUGUAAACUCCUUUUAUAUGCCAAGAAAAUGACGGUAGCAUAUGAAUAAGCACCGGCUAACUCCGUGCCAGCAGCCGCGGUAAUACGGAGGGUGCAAGCGUUACUCGGAAUCACUGGGCGUAAAGGACGCGUAGGCGGGUUGGAAAGUCAGGUGUGAAAUCCUACAGCUUAACUGUAGAACUGCACUUGAAACUUCUAAUCUAGAGUAUGGGAGGGGGAGAUGGAAUUAGUGGUGUAGGGGUAAAAUCCGUAGAUAUCACUAGGAAUACCUAAAGCGAAGGCGAUCUCCUGGAACAUACUGACGCUAAGGCGUGAAAGCGUGGGGAGCAAACAGGAUUAGAUACCCCAGUAGUC
rnacentral:rRNA from 1 species